rnacentral:tRNA from 1 species
GGCACUGCGGCUUAAUUGGUUAAAGCACCUGUCUAGUAAACAGGAGAUCCUGGGUUCGAAUAUCAGCAAAGCCU